CCUACGGGAGGCAGCAGUGGGGAAUAUUGGGCAAUGGGCGCAAGCCUGACCCAGCAAUGCCGCGUGAAGUAAGACGGCUUUCGGGUUGUAAACUUCUUUGACAGGGGAAGAGCAGAAGACGGUACCCUGAAAACAAGCCACGGCUAACUACGUGCCAGCAGCCGCGGUAAUACGUAGGUGGCAAGCGUUGUCCGGAUUUACUGGGUGUAAAGGGCGUGUAGCCGGGAAGGCAAGUCAGAUGUGAAAUCUGGAGGCUCAACCGCCAAAUUGCAUUUGAAACUGGUUUUCUUGAGUACGGGAGAGGCAGACGGAAUUCCUGGUGUAGCGGUGAAAUGCGUAGAUAUAAGGAGGAACACCAGUGGCGAAGGCGGUCUGCUGGACAGCAACUGACGGUGAGGCGCGAAAGCGUGGGGAGCAAACAGGAUUAGAUACCCGAGUAGUC
rnacentral:rRNA from 1 species